rnacentral:lncRNA from 1 species
AGGAUUGAUGUUUCUAGUGAUUUCAAGAGUUUUGUAAUAGAUCUAUGCUUGAAAUUUUGUAGGUUAAUGGUCAUAGUUGUGUUUAAUAUGUUUUGUGAAUCUAAGCUUGAUUUAAUAGUUGAAUUGAGGAUUAUUGAGGUUUAAGUGAGUCAAGGUCUAAAAAAAUAGAAUUUUAGGUCUAGUGAGGGUUUUUAAGAUUUCUUGCAAUCUACUAGUUGGAUUGGAGUUAAAUUUAUGUAAAAGGAUAUUAGACUUGUUUUUUUAUAUAUAUGAGAAUUUUAAAAUCAAUCAAACGAUGUAAAAGAGAGAUAUUGGCUCUGGGAAAUUGGUAUCAAGGUUGGAGAAAGAGGCCAGCCAAUACCCAAGCACGUUUUUGAGGUUAUCGUCUAUUUGGUAAUUUCGAUCAUUUUCAAAAAAUUUGUGCUUAUUUUCAACUUAAUUUUUAAAAAGUGUGAAAAAUUUGAGUUAAGAUCAAUGGUUCAUUCAUUAAUUAUUGAGGUUUAAUUCUAUUAUAGAAAUUACUAGGAUUUUGUUAGGAUUUGAUUUAGGAUUUGGAUUUGGUUAGGAUUUGGUUAAGAUUUGAUUUAGAAUUAGGAUUUGGUUAGGAUUUGAGUUAGGAUUUGAGUUAGGAUUUAGGAUUAGGAUUAGGAUUUGAUUAGGAUUUGAUUUAAGAUUAAGGUUUGAUUAAAAUUUGGUUAGGAUUUGAGUUUGAUUUAGGAUUAAAGUUGGAUUUAGGAUUUGAUUAGUGUUUGAUUUAGGAUUAAAGUUUACUUAGGAUUUGAUUUAAGAUUAGGAUUUGGUUAGGAUUUGAUUUAGGGUUAAAGUUUGAUUAGGGUUUGGUUAGGAUUUGAUUUAGGAUUAGGAUUUGGUUUAGGGUUUAGGAUUUGAUUAGGAUUUGAUUUAGGAUUAGGAUUUGGUUUAGGGUUUAGGAUUUGAUUAGGAUUUGAUUUAGGAUUAAGGUUUGAUUAGGAUUUGAUUUAAGAUUAGGAUUUGGUUAGGAUUUGGUUUAAGGUUUAGCAUUAGGAUUAGGGUUUGAUUUAGGAUUAAGGUUUGAUUAGGAUUUGAUUUAGAAUUAGGAUUUGAUUAGGAUUUGGUUUAGGAUUUGAAUUAUGGUUAGAAUUUAGGAUUUGGUUAAGAUUUGAUUUAGGAUUUGGUUAAGAUUUGAUUUAGGAUUAAGGUUUGAUUAGGAUUUGAUCAGGAUUUGAUUUAGGAUUUAGGAUUUUAUUUGAGAUUGUUUAGGAUUUAAGAUUUGGUUAGUUUUUGGCUUAAAGUUUGAAUGAAGUAAAAUUUUAACUAGGAUUAAAUUAAGAUUGAAUUGAGAUAUAUUUGAAAUAUGUUUGUAAUUAUUCUAAUAUUUCUUUAAGAUUUUCUAUUGUUUCUUUAGAAUUCCUUUGAAGUUUCUCUGAAUUUGAUUAAAGCUUGUUUAGCAUUGUUAGUGUUCUAUUAGAAUUAGGAUUUUAUUGUUGCAAUUUCCAUUCUACCUUCUACAGCCAAGUGUCCGAAGCAUUUUCAAGCAAGUCUUCACGUAUUACAAAAACAAUGGUCUUUUUG